rnacentral:lncRNA from 1 species
UAAUGGCUUCUCUGUCUUCUUAAAGAAUAGAUGAAGUAUCCUGUGAGAGUGAAACUGGAGUCAGAGUUUUCCUGAAAAAUAUUUUGUGCUGACUCCUCAGUAGAGAUUGGGAAAGGCAGCAGACGAGAAGCCAAACGUUCAAGCUGAUAAUUCAACAGAACUUUUCUCUGAAUUGAGGGCGCAGAGUGGAGCCAUCAUGAGCGAUGUUACCAUUGUGAAAGAAGGCUGGGUUCAGAAGAGGGGCAGCAUCAGGGUGACAUCAUACUCGUACACUGCCCUGAAAGCCACAUAAGAACAGGAUGUAAGGAGAGCAACUGUUUCACUCUGAAUUAGAGAGCUGAAUGUGCACAUAGACCCAACCAUCAGAUACAGGAUUUUGGCAGAGCUGCAGAUGCAAGAUUUGAAAAGAGGUACCUCUUCAGCACUAAAAUUCCCCAGUCUUCCUGCAGGAAAGCCCUACUGGUGACAGCAGUCAGUCCUGGAUCAUUCCUGUAUUAUGUCGC